GAGUUUGAUCCUGGCUCAGAAUCAUUGUGGGCAGGGCGUGCCUAACACAUGCAAGUCGAACGCGAAAGCCCGCAAGGGUGAGUAGAGUGGCGCACGGGUGAGUAACACGUGGACAACCUGCCUUCGAGUGGGGAAUAACCUUCCGAAAGGAGGGCUAAUACCGCAUAACACCUCGGAACAUAAGUGCUGGGGUUAAAAAGAGCAAUUUGCUCGAAGAGGGGUCCGCGCCUGAUUAGCUAGUUGGUGAGGUAACGGCUCACCAAGGCUUCGAUCAGUAGCCGUCCUGAGAGGGAGCACGGCCACACUGGAACUGAGACACGGUCCAGACUCCUACGGGAGGCAGCAGUGGGGAAUUUUUGGCAAUGGGCGAAAGCCUGACCAAGCAACGCCGCGUGGGUGAUGAAGUAUCUUGGUACGUAAAACCCUUUCGGCAGGGACGAACCUAAUGACGGUACCUGCGGAAGAAGCCCCGGCUAACUCCGUGCCAGCAGCCGCGGUAAUACGGGGGGGGCAAGCGUUGUUCGGAAUUACUGGGCGUAAAGGGCGCGUAGGCGGUUGGAUAAGUCAGCUGUGAAAACCACGGGCUUAACUCGUGGCCUGCAGUUGAGACUGUCUGGCUUGAGUGUGGGAGAGGAGAGUGGAAUUCCUGGUGUAGCGGUGAAAUGCGUAGAUAUCAGGAGGAACACCGGUGGCGAAGGCGGCUCUCUGGACCACAACUGACGCUGAGGCGCGAAAGCUAGGGGAGCAAACAGGAUUAGAUACCCUGGUAGUCCUAGCUGUAAACGAUGGAUACUUGCUGU
rnacentral:rRNA from 1 species